rnacentral:rRNA from 1 species
GACGAACGCUGGCGGCGUGCCUAAUACAUGCAAGUAGAACGCACAGUUUAUACCGUAGCUUGCUACACCAUAGACUGUGAGUUGCGAACGGGUGAGUAACGCGUAGGUAACCUGCCUGGUAGCGGGGGAUAACUAUUGGAAACGAUAGCUAAUACCGCAUAAUAUUAAUUAUUGCAUGAUAAUUAAUUGAAAGGUGCAAUUGCACCACUACCAGAUGGACCUGCGUUGUAUUAGCUAGUAGGUGAGGUAACGGCUCACCUAGGCGACGAUACAUAGCCGACCUGGUAGAGUGAUCGGCCACACUGGGACUGAGACCCGGCCCAGACUCCUUCGGGAGGCAGCAGUAGGGAAUCGUCGGCAAUGGACGAGAGUCUGACCGAGCAACGCCGCGGGAGUGAAGAAGGGUUUCGGAUCGUAAAGCUCGGUUGUAAGAGAAGAACGGGUGUGAGAGUGGAAAGUUCACACUGCGACGGUAUCUUACCAGAAAGGGACGGCUAACUACGUG